rnacentral:rRNA from 1 species
ACUCAAAGGAAUUGACGGGGACCCGCACAAGCGGAGGAACAUGUGGUUUAAUUCGAAGCAACGCGAAGAACCUUACCAGGGCUUGAAAUCGAUGGAAUCUCUGUGAAAGCAGAGAGUGCCCCUCGGGGAACCAGAAGACAGGUGGUGCACGGUUGUCGUCAGCUCGUGUCGUGAGAUGUUGGGUUAAGUCCCGCAACGAGCGCAACCCUCGUUAUUAGUUGCAUGCGUCGGUAUACUGAUGCAGUGCUCUCUAGUAAGACUGCCGGUGAUAAACCGGAGGAAGGUGGGGACGACGUCAAAUCAUCAUGCCCCUUAUGCUCUGGGCUACACACGUGUUACAAUGGCCAGGACAACGAGUCGCCAACUCGCGAGAGUGAGCAAAUCUCUUAAACCUGGUCCCAGUUCGGAUUGUAGUCUGCAACUCGACUACAUGAAGUCGGAUUCGCUAGUAAACGCAGAUCAGCACGCUGCGUUGAAUACGUUCCCGGGUCUUGUACACACCGCCCGU